rnacentral:rRNA from 1 species
AUGUCCAUGUUUGAGAUGCGAAAAUGGUGUUUUUCCACAACCCGUUCGAAGGCAGCGUGCUGGCGCACUUGCUCUGUCGAGAUUUUGUUGCAGGUUAUACAUAGUGGACAAUGCAUGGUGAGGAGGAUGUUAGCGAUGAUGAAGGAGGAAACAAUGAUGCGGAAAACUCUGGCGAUGAAGCAGAGCCGCCAAAAGGAGGAAACAAUGAACAUGCGCAUGAAGAAAAUGAUGAAAUGCCACCGGAACAUGAAGAGGAUCAUGAGACUGUCACGCAGGAUAUGUCGUUGGCUACAAUGCUACAAGAUCCUCAUGUCAAAUAUCUGCUUCGGAAGAAGACGACAACCGAGAGAGAUGCUAUUAAAGAGGCUCUAA